UGGGGGGUGGUGGCGGGGGCGGGGGGUGGGGAGCGAGCAUUAAUCAAAACAUCGAAGUGAGCCCCACCAUGCCUACGUGUACAAAUAGCUGUUGAUGGCUUUGCCAUGCUUACUGAACUGAGUAAGUCUAAAAGCCUUCCGUGUGCAUUCCUAUUUUCGGGCGCAAUACAGUACGUUAACCUCAGAAUAUCAAAUUGAAUCAGGGGUUCUGAGAAGAGCCGCCUGCAAAGCGGUUAGAAUGACACUCCUCAUUACACCGUCCAGAUUCAGGUUUCAGACAACCAUAACCAGCCUUUGCCGGCUUCUCACCUACAGGCAGACCCAGGCAGCCCCAAAUCAGAGCCUGCCCUCCGGCAAGGGCUCCCGGACCUCUUCACAGGUGAAGUCCACCGAGACCCGGAAAGACUUGGAGAGUCUCACCCAACUGCUGCAGGUGGGGCCGUCUUCCUGGGCUGCCACGGUGAUUACCCGAUGCUAAGAGUGGAUUCAUCCAACCUCAGAACUCUUAUGCGUCCCACGUCUCCAAAGAAUCAAGUCAACCCGAUUCUCAAGAUGAUUGAUCAGCGCACCGGGCCCAUACAGAGAUGAAUGGUGUCUGAUCCCCAGUGAGAGCAUUUCACAAAUAGAAGCUAUGUUCUCCUCUGUCUUGAGCCAGCAAUGGAUUGAAGCUGAGAGUUGGUGGAGGAAGUAACACAGAGAAAAAGUAGGAAGGAAAAAAUUCAUCUUGCCUCUAGAUUUGCCAGAACGCCAGUUACUCUAUGCCAGCUGUCUGGAGUAUACAACAUGUUCACUUAAACUC
rnacentral:lncRNA from 1 species